rnacentral:rRNA from 1 species
AGAAAGCUGGCAGGGCCCCUAUACAUGCAGUCGAGGGGCAGCAUUCACUUCGGUGAGAUGGCGACCGGCGGACGGGUGCGUAACGCGUAUGCAACCUACCCAUUACAGGGGGAUAGCCCGAAGAAAUUUGGAUUAAUACCCCAUUAUUAUUAUUGGAUGGCAUCAUUUAAUGAUUAAAGAGUUAUUGGUAAUGGAUGGGCAUGCGUCCCAUUAGCUAGUUGGUGGGUUAACAGCUUACCAAGGCGACGAUGGGUAGGGGUUCUGAGAGGAAGGUCCCCCACACUGGUACUGAGAUACGGACCAGACUCCUACGGGAGGCAGCAGUAGGGAAUAUUGGUCAAUGGGCGAUAGCCUGAACCAGCCAUGCCGCGUGCAGGACGACGGCCUUCUGGGUUGUAAACUGCUUCUAUACAGGAAUAAAAUUGUCUUGCGAGACCGAUUGCAUGUACUGUAUGAAUAAGCACCGGCUAACUCCGUGCCUGCAGCCGCGGUAAUACGGAGGGUGUAAGCGUUGUCCGGAUUUAUUGGGUUUAAAGGGUGCGUAGGCGGUUAUUUAAGUCAGUGGUGAAAACCCUGAGCUCAACUGAGGGCUUGCCAUUGAUACUGAGUAACUUGAUUACCGUAUAGGUAGGCAGAAUUUAUGGUGUAGCGGUGAAAUGCAUAGAUACCAUAAAGACACCGAUAGCGAAGGCAGCUUACUGGACGGUUAGUGACGCUGAUGCACGAAAGCGUGGGUAGCGAACGGGAUUAGAUACCCCGUAGUCCACGCUGUAACGAUGAUCACUCGAUGUGUGCGAUAUACAGUACGCGUCAGCGAAGCGUUACGUGAUCCACUGGGGGUACGACCGCAAGUUG